rnacentral:misc_RNA from 1 species
AACCUUAUGGACCUGCGGGCGUAUACCUGCGGAAGGAUCAUUACACAAUAAACAUAUGAAGGCUGCACCGCCAACAGGCGGCAAGGCUGGAGUAUUUUAUUACCCUUGUCUUUUGCGCACUUGUUGUUUCCUGGGCGGGUUCGCCCGCCUCCAGGACCACAUGAUAAACCUUUUUUAUGCAGUUGCAAUCAGCGUCAGUACAACAAAUGUAAAUCAUUUACAACUUUUAACAACGGAUCU